rnacentral:misc_RNA from 1 species
GCAUAUAAGUGGGACAUACUUUCGUUGUGGGCCUAUGAUUCAAGAAUAAACAUGUAGCAUAGAAUCACAAAGUCAAAGAUAGACGCAUUUAUGAACAAGGACCAUUUAAAGCUCCAUCGCCUUUAAUUAGAAUGAUUUUUGAAAGAAUGAAAGAUCAUCUAAAGUUUCAUUUAUUCAAGAUGUCAUUUAGGAAAGAAGUAUCAGUUUUCAACUGCACCAUGCCGCCAAUAAU